GAUGAACGCUGGCGGCGUGCCUAAUACAUGCAAGUCGAGCGAAUGGAUUAAGAGCUUGCUCUUAUGAAGUUAGCGGCGGACGGGUGAGUAACACGUGGGUAACCUGCCCAUAAGACUGGGAUAACUCCGGGAAACGGGGGCUAAUACCGGAUAACAUUUUGAACCGCAUGGUUCGAAAUUGAAAGGCGGCUUCGGCUGUCACUUAUGGAUGGACCCGCGUCGCAUUAGCUAGUUGGUGAGGUAACGGCUCACCAAGGCAACGAUGCGUAGCCGACCUGAGAGGGUGAUCGGCCACACUGGGACUGAGACACGGCCCAGACUCCUACGGGAGGCAGAAGUAGGGAAUCUUCCGCAAUGGACGAAAGUCUGACGGAGCAACGCCGCGUGAGUGAUGAAGGCUUUCGGGUCGUAAAACUCUGUAGUUAGGGAAGAACAAGUGCUAGUUGAAUAAGCUGGCACCUUGACGGUACCUAACCAGAAAGCCACGGCUAACUACGUGCCAGCCGCCGCCGUAA
rnacentral:rRNA from 1 species